rnacentral:rRNA from 1 species
CUGUCUCUUUUUUAAUAUCUUGAAAUUGCUAAGUAGGUGAAAAUACCUACAUCCUAAUAAAAGACGAGAAGACCCUAGAAAUUUUUUAUAAAGUAUAUAUUACUACUAUUAUUUUGUUGGGGCGACAGAAUAACAAUUCAACUUAUUUUUUUACCAUUUAGAAUUUUUUAUAAGGAGAAAUAAAAUUACUCUAGGGAUAACAGCAUAAUUAUAAACUAGUUUGUGACCUCGAUGUUGGACUAAGGAAGGUUUAAUUCAGAAGAUUAAACCACACGUUCUGUUCGAACGGAAGCCCUUACAUGAUCUGAG